rnacentral:rRNA from 1 species
UACGGAGGAGGCAAGCGUUAUCCGGAAUUAUUGGGCGUAAAGAGCUCGUAGGCGGUUUGUCGCGUCUGCCGUGAAAGUCCGGGGCUCAACUCCGGAUCUGCGGUGGGUACGGGCAGACUAGAGUGAUGUAGGGGAGACUGGAAUUCCUGGUGUAGCGGUGAAAUGCGCAGAUAUCAGGAGGAACACCGAUGGCGAAGGCAGGUCUCUGGGCAUUAACUGACGCUGAGGAGCGAAAGCAUGGGGAGCGAACAGG